rnacentral:lncRNA from 1 species
GCCAACACUCUGAGAAGGAAAUUGAAGCUCAGAGAAGGUCCAGCAGCUGGUGAGUAGCAGAGAACAUGAGUUUCCAGUUGACAAAGUCUGUGCUCAGCUCCUUCACUGAACAUUGCUCUGAGCCAACGCAUGUCAGCGAGAGGACGCGGUGACACCGGCCUGUGGUUGCACCCAGAAACAAACAAGUAGGGAGAGCAGCCCCAGUUCUCCAGAAUGACCUCUUUCCUCCGAAUCCCACUCCAGGAAGAGAGUCCAGCAGGGGCCCCUGAGCUUGGGGCUGGCCCUGUGCGCUGUCAGCAGAGACCCCUGUCCAUCAGCACUUUGCAUGGGUCUGUCCUGCUUCAGUGGGGAAUGUUCCUCAGCAAAAGAACUGAGUGCAAUGCAGGGAUGCCAUCGGAGUUGGCUGGGGACAGCCUGGCUUUGUCAUGUUAGGGGGCAUGGAGGGGCAUGCAGUGCUCAGGGUGGACACCACACACAAGGGUCACACUGAGCUCAGAGGAACAAAUCGCAGGGAGAGAAUGUGCCAAUGGUGCUUUCUCCAAGACACCUCUGACCUGGAACUGCAAACCACCGCUGAUUCCCCUGCCCAGCUCCUCUGUUAGAAUGACCCCGUGGGGCUGCAGAUGACUUAACAGCUAUAUUUAGCAAGUCAUGGGAGGGAUGGGCCAGUUCCAGCCAGCUAGCCUGCCUUCAGAGGCCCUAGAUUCCUUUGUCCUUCCCUUCUGCCUCCCCUCCUAGUUUUUCCCACUGGCUGGCUCUUAACCCCUUCAUGGCUUGAGGACUCCUCUCAAAUAUGGGCAAAGCAGAUAGAACGUAAGGGAGGCCACCCGAGUAUCCCAGCCCCCAAAUUUCUCACUCAGCUGCCUGGAACUCUGCUUUACGAACUCCCUUUCUUCAGUCCUGAACUUUUCUUUUUUUUCAUCAUUAAGUGUUUCCUAAUAAAAUUAUGCAAGUACCCUUGGG